AUACGUAGGGUGCAAGCGUUGUCCGGAAUUAUUGGGCGUAAAGAGCUCGUAGGCGGUUUGUCGCGUCUGCUGUGAAAGCCCGAGGCUCAACCUCGGGUCUGCAGUGGGUACGGGCAGACUGGAGUGCGGUAGGGGAGAUUGGAAUUCCUGGUGUAGCGGUGGAAUGCGCAGAUAUCAGGAGGAACACCGAUGGCGAAGGCAGAUCUCUGGGCCGUUACUGACGCUGAGGAGCGAAAGCAUGGGGAGCGAACAGGAUUAGAUACCCUGGUAGUCCAUGCCGUAAACGUUGGGCGCUAGAUGUGGGGACCAUUCCACGGUUUCCGUGUCGUAGCUAACGCAUUAAGCGCCCCGCCUGGGGAGUACGGCCGCAAGGCUAAAACUCAAAUGAAUUGACGGGG
rnacentral:rRNA from 1 species